rnacentral:rRNA from 1 species
GAUGAACGCUGGCGGCGUGCCUAAUACAUGCAAGUCGAGCGAAGCGGGGACGGGUGAGUAACACGUGGAUAACCUCCUAUAAGACUGGGAUAACUUCGGGAAACCGGUGCUAACACGGCUACUGUUCGCUGGUUCCGCGCUGAAUUAGCUAGUUGGUGAGGCAACGGCUUACCAAGGCAACGAUGCAUAGCCGACCUGAGAGGGUGAUCGGCCACAACGGAACUGAGACACGGUCCCGACUCCUACGGGAGGCAGCAGUAGGGAAUCUUCCGCAAUGGGCGAAAGCCUGACGGAGCAACGCCGCGUGAGUGAUGAAGGUCUUCGGGUCGUAAAACUCUGUUAUUAGGGAAGCGGUACCUAAUCAGAAAGCCACGGCUAACUACGUGCCAGCAGCCGCGGUAAUAC